rnacentral:rRNA from 1 species
UUCCGUAGGUGAACCUGCGGAGGGAUCAUUACCGAGUUUACAACUCCCAAACCCUUAUGUGAACCUACCUAUCGUUGCUUCGGCGGACUCGCCCCAGCCGGACGCGGACUGGACCAGCGGCCGCCGGGGACCAUCAAACUCUUGUAUUAUCAGCAUCUUCUGAAUACGCCGCAAGGCAAAACAAAUAAAUUAAAACUUUCAAUAACGGAUCUCUUGGCUCUGGCAUCGAUGAAGAACGCAGCGAAAUGCGAUAAGUAAUGUGAAUUGCAGAAUCCAAUGAAUCAUCGAAUCUUUGAACGCACAUUGCGCCCGCCAGCAUUCUGGCGGGCAUGCUUGUUCGAGCGUCAUUUCAACCCUCGACCUCCCUUUGGGGAAGUCGGCGUUGGGGACCGGCAGCACACCGCCGGCCCUGAAAUGGAGUGGCGGCCCGUCCGCGGCGACCUCUGCGUAGUAAACCAACUCGCACCGGAACCCCGACGUGGCCACGCCGUAAAACACCCAACUUCUGAACGUUGACCUCGAAUCAGGUAGGACUACCCGCUGAACUUAAGCAUAUCAAUAAGCGGAGGA